GAUGAACGCUGGCGGCGUGCCUAAUACAUGCAAGUCGAGCGAACAGACGAGGAGCUUGCUCCUCUGACGUUAGCGGCGGACGGGUGAGUAACACGUGGAUAACCUACCUAUAAGACUGGGAUAACUUCGGGAAACCGGAGCUAAUACCGGAUAAUAUAUUGAACCGCAUGGUUCAAUAGUGAAAGACGGUUUUGCUGUCACUUAUAGAUGGAUCCGCGCCGCAUUAGCUAGUUGGUAAGGUAACGGCUUACCAAGGCAACGAUGCGUAGCCGACCUGAGAGGGUGAUCGGCCACACUGGAACUGAGACACGGUCCAGACUCCUACGGGAGGCAGCAGUAGGGAACCUUCCGCAAUGGGCGAAAGCCUGACGGAGCAACGCCGCGUGAGUGAUGCAGGUCUUCGGAUCGUAAAACUCUGUUAUUAGGGAAGAACAAAUGUGUAAGUAACUAUGCACGUCUUGACGGUACCUAAUCAGAAAGCCACGGCUAACUACGUG
rnacentral:rRNA from 1 species